rnacentral:misc_RNA from 1 species
GAGAAAACGAAGCUCAUGGAAGAAUGGUGGGGGAAAACUCAUAAUCUUCUUAUUGAGGGAGGCCUUACAUAUGAUGCAAUUGGGGAAUCUGUUGCUGAUUCUGCUAUUACUUUUAGGGAGGGUGUCGUUGAACUAUUUGAGUUUCUGGAGGAAAGGGACAUUCCUGUUCUUAUAUUUUCAGCAGGGCUUGCAGAUAUCAUAGAGGAGGUCUUGAGGCAGAAAGUUCACAGAUGUUUUAGAAAUGUCAAGAUUGUCUCUAAUCGUAUGAUAUUUGAUGA